rnacentral:rRNA from 1 species
AUGCGUUCUCAUUUUCACGGAGGUGAACCAGAAUGUGCUGUUGCUGGAUUAUUAUAUGGCUUUCCAGCACAAAUAAUGACCGCAUUCGAUGCAGUUGGAGAAGGCAAAGAAAAGCCAUUUGUUCAAUUCUUUGUGGUACAUUUUUCUCUUCAUCAAGCAUGCUAUCUGUUUGUGUUUAUGACAUUUCUGCUUUGUUACAACAUAUUUUACAUUUUUCUUACCAUCUCAAAACUGUAUGAUGGAACAUGGAGUACUAUUAUUCGAAUUUGUACAGUGGUCAGUGAUUUGAAAAACAUUAUUUCCACUCCUAUUUUUCAGUUAUGGAUGAUCUUCGUUUUCAGAGACCUCCUGAUGGAAAUCCAUAUGAGAUAA